rnacentral:rRNA from 1 species
AGAACGAACGCUGGCGGCAUGCCUAACACAUGCAAGUCGAACGAGACCUUCGGGUCUAGUGGCGCACGGGUGCGUAACGCGUGGGAAUCUGCCCUUAGGUACGGAAUAACAGUUAGAAAUGACUGCUAAUACCGUAUGAUGACGUAAGUCCAAAGAUUUAUCGCCUAAGGAUGAGCCCGCGUAGGAUUAGCUUGUUGGUGAGGUAAAAGCUCACCAAGGCGACGAUCCUUAGCUGGUCUGAGAGGAUGAUCAGCCACACGUGGGACUGAGACACGGCCCAGACCUCCGUACGGGAGCAGCGAGGUGGGGAAUAGUGGAACAAGUGGGACGAAAGCCUGACUCCGAGACAAGUCGCCGCGUGAGUGAGUAGAAGGUCCGUUAGGGUUAGUAAAGUCCUUACGUUUACCGGGAAGUAAUAAGUGACGUAGGUAACCGGAAG